AGAGCGAACGCUGGCGGCAGGCCUAACACAUGCAAGUCGAGCGCCCCGCAAGGGGAGCGGCAGACGGGAGAGUAACACGUGGGAACGUACCCUUUGGUUCGGAACAACACAGGGAAACUUGUGCUAAUACCGGAUAAGCCCUUACGGGGAAAGAUUUAUCGCCAAAGGAUCGGCCCGCGUCUGAUUAGCUUGUUGGUGAGGUAACGGCUCACCAAGGCUACGAUCAGUAGCUGGUCUGAGAGGAUGAUCAGCCUCACUGGGACUGAGACACGGCCCAGACUCCUACGGGAGGCAGCAGUGGGGAAUAUUGGACAAUGGGCGCAAGCCUGAUCCAGCCAUGCCGCGUGGAUGAUGAAGGCCUUAGGGUUGUAAAGUCCUUUCGGCGGGGAAGAUAAUGACGGUACCCGCAGAAGAACGCCCCGGCUAACUUCGUGCCAGCAGCCGC
rnacentral:rRNA from 1 species